rnacentral:rRNA from 1 species
GAUGAACGCUGGCGGCGUGCCUAAUACAUGCAAGUCGAGCGAACAGACGAGGAGCUUGCUCCUCUGACGUUAGCGGCGGACGGGUGAGUAACACGUGGAUAACCUACCUAUAAGACUGGGAUAACUUCGGGAAACCGGAGCUAAUACCGGAUAAUAUAUUGAACCGCAUGGUUCAAUAGUGAAAGACGGUUUUGCUGUCACUUAUAGAUGGAUCCGCGCCGCAUUAGCUAGUUGGUAAGGUAACGGCUUACCAAGGCAACGAUGCGUAGCCGACCUGAGAGGGUGAUCGGCCACCAUGGAACUGAGACACGGUCCAGACUCCUACGGGAGGCAGCAGUAGGGAAUCUUCCGCAAUGGGCGAAAGCCUGACGGAGCAACGCCGCGUGAGUGAUGAAGGUCUUCGGAUCGUAAAACUCUGUUAUUAGGGAAGAACAAAUGUGUAAGUAACUAUGCACGUCUUGACGGUACCUAAUCAGAAAGCCACGGCUAACUACGUG